GGUUCCCUGUAUCCCGAACACACUUCAACGUCCCCCACCCCUCAAACCCAAACGUACUCCGCUCCCCCGAGCUCGGACCCUGACCUUUGCUCACUGGUGACCGCCGUGCGCAGAGACUGCGCCCCAGCUAGAGAGGGAGCAUCAAACCAGGGAUCCAAUUAACUGGAAUCGACUUCAAAAUACUUCUCCAAAGCAUCGGGUUACAGUCGCAACAACAAAGGCCUACAUUUAUACAGCGCCUUCAAAGCAGAAGCGCCGUUUGCAGGGGUGCUAUCAAACAGCACAUUAAUUAACACCCGCCCACUUCGGGGAAGAUCAGGGCAGAUGACAACGAGUUUGGAUUCAAGAUUAUUUAUUGACAUUCGUCAGUACACAAGGGUAAAGGAGAACGAUAAAGUAGAUUGGAACACAGAAGAAAUUUCAAAGUGGCUGGGGUCCUGUCAGAGUCAGUGAUCUGCAACUGCAUUCAAACUCUGGGUUGUCACUCUCGGAACUCACCAUGCGGCCUGCUGUUUCGAUAUCUCCAGGCGCGCCCAUGGACAACCCGGUUCCUCACUGACUGAAGCAUCGUGGGAGAUUGAAACAUCGAGGUAGCAGGUGACGUACGCUGAUUUCGAAAGAAGACCCCUGCUCUCAAGCGAUUUCUCUCUCUCAAUGAUGAGAGCCUGUUGGCCCUCCAGUUGGGGAAUUUGGACAAGCAACAUGGCAGACUGUAACAUCGAAACAGCGAGCUGUUGGUCUUCCCUCUCACUGCAGGAGCGAUCUCUCUCUCUCCCUCACUGUGAGGUCGAGGUGUUGGGAUGGGAUGGACAGUAGCUUUUCAUGGACCCUAGAUCACAAUCUCUGGGGGGUUUGCUAUUGCUUGCAUGGUGGGUGGUGGGGGCUGAUG